ensembl:lncRNA
GGGCCAAUGAUGCGAAGAGCCGACUCAUUGGAAAAGACCCUGAUUUGGGGAAAGAUUGAAGGUGGGAGAAGAAGGGGCCAAUGAUGUGAAGAGCCGACUCACUGGAAAAGACCCUGAUUUGGGGAAAGAUUGAAGGCGGGAGAAGAAGGGGCCAAUGAUGCGAAGAGCCGACUCAUUGGAAAAGACCCUGAUUUGGGGAAAGAUUGAAGGCGGGAGAAGAAGGGGCCACCUGAUGCGAAGAGCCGACUCAUUGGAAAAGACCCUGAUUUGGGGAAAGAUUGAAGGCGGGAGAAGAAGGGCCAACUGAGGACAAGAUGGAUGGAUGGCAUCACCGAUCCAAUGGACAUGCGUUGGGACAAGCUCCGGGAGGUGGUGAAGGACAGGGAAGCUGGCGUGCUGCAGUCCAUGGUCUCAAGGAGUCGGACAUGACUUAGUGAGGGAACAGCAACAAGCUUCAUUUCCUCCUCUAAAGAUGCCAGUCGUGUUGGAUGGGAGCCCACGCUAAUGACCUCACCCUAACCGGAUUAGCCCCGCACUGACCCUAUCUCAGCGUUUGAUGAGGCAGCUGGUAAAGCAGUCGUGGACCGGGGGCGGGGGUGUCCAAGGCCAGCUCCCUCAAAUGUCCACGUGCCCCCCGGUCGUUCACCACCGGCCAGCCUGAGACUCAGUGCCCUCUGGUGGCGUGAGCGUUAGAUGGGGAAAUGGGCAAAGGCUUCGUGCAAACGGCAAGCCCACGUCAGCCCCCUGACCUCAGGCAGCACCAGGCAAAUCCCACGACUUUUUUCUUUUUAUUAAACUUUCUAUUUUAAAUCAGAGUAUAGUCGAUUAACAAUGUUUUAACAGUUUCAGGUGGACAGCAAAGGGACUCAGCCAUACAUGCAUCCAUUCUCCCCAGAACUGUUCGUUUUGAUAUAAUUUCAAACUUACAGGAAAGUUCUAAUAGAAGUACAAAAACUCGCAUAGACCCUUUCCCAGAUUCACUGUUUGCAUUUACUUUGUCAUGACACACCCUCUUCACGUACCCUAUUAGAAUAUAUAAUACUGUUUUGCAUAUUUUGAACAAGACACGGCCCAUGAGCUGGAGCUGGUGGGGUGGAGACAGGGUCUGCAGGCGAGAUCCAACGUGACUUCUUCACAGGCAUCUUAAUCACUUUUGGAGACAGGGGGCUACUCAUUUACAAAUCCAACUGUGUGCUAAUUUAGUAAACAUACUUAGGAGGUUUCCACCCACUUCCAGAGAAGUGGAGCCAUGCAGUCUUUGAAGAGGUUCUCCACGGCCUCCUUCUAGAGCGUGUCUUCGCAGACCCCCAGCUACCCUUCAGUCAGCAGAAGGGCCUCACACUUACUUUCCAGGAAGAGCCACUUUCUCUGCACCCGGCAAAGACAGCAAGGCUCCUGUCUCCACGUUGGCUUCUGUUCCUCCCCGCUUCUCCAGCCUUGAUCCUGCAGGCCUCUCUCCCUUCUAACACGUGGAUCCUCCCCUUUGCAAGGGUGUCUUGGCUUGUACCUUUAUACAGACAUAAAGCUUCUAUCCUAACACAUCCUCAUUUACCCUGAGGUCUCCUUCUGCCCAUCAGCAUUUCCCAGGUGUGUGUCACAGGGACCAUAGUCACAUCACAGGCCCAGGGUCGCAAAGUCAAGUACGGUUAGGAAAUGCUUCCUCUCUUUCCUGCAGGAAUCAUCAGAGCCUUUAAUUCUAAAAAAAAAAAAAUGGGUCUGCAACGCAGCGCUCCCCACACUGUUCUAACACAGGCUCAGAACUCCAUCUUUUGGAACGUCUCGAGGGACUAACGUCAGCUUUCAGGAGUGCUGGUCAGCACACAGUGUCUCUGGGUCCAGCUGGUCUGGGACAGACACGGCCGUCUGUCCAGCAAAUCCUCUUCCCUUCCUCUUGGUCACAGCACCGGACUCGGUUUCCCAGCCUCCCUCUCAGCGAGCUGUGACCACGUGGCCUCCAUCUUCCCAGCGUGAGAUGUGCCUUCUCCAGCCCCGACCCCCAAAACUGGCUGUGUGCUCGCUCCCACAGGCUGUCCCUCUGGCUGGAGAUGGACCCCCAGCGGACGCGAUUCAGCACUGCCGCCACAGGGCGGGUGUCUGAACGGCCAACGGGCGGAGGAGCCCCUGGAUGAUGCACACGCCUGCCGGGCCACCGCAGAAACAGGAGGUGCGGGUGCCCGUCCAUGCCAAGCCCUGGGCUGCUGCGGCCGGUUCUCGCCGCCGCCCAGCCCCCACGCCGCGCAUCCUCAUCUUCCUGUUAUCCGGCCUCCGCUCCCCACCUGCCAUGAGAUGACCACCACGCGCCCGUGAUGUUUCCGCCAGGUCCUGGGGUCUGACUUGGGUUCUUAGUUCUUCCCAUAACCCGACCCUCCUCCCAGCACUUCCUCAAGGCUGGGGUCCGCAGCCAGAUUCCGUUUCCAUCGCUUCGAUUCUCAGAAUAUUUUCUCCUGUCCCUCCAUCUCCACCCCCAGCUUGGGUGUGUCCCUGUCCUCGGCUUCUCUCCCUGACGCGGCUUCAUCUCUGAUCUCAUGGUGUCUACCAUCUCAUCCAAGGAAGCAGAGGCAGAAAGGAGAACUGAACUGUCACCUCACCAGGGCAUAUUCUUCCAGGAAAGAAGCUUGUUUUGUUCACAGCUGUUUAUUAGCCUCUAGUUAUGCCUGGCACAGAAUAGAUGCUCCAUGAACAUCAUUCAUUUUUCUUUAUUUAUGUAUUUAUUUUUCUUUAUGGUGUGCAGGGUCUUCGUUGCUGCCCGGGGCUGCCUCUAGCCGCAGCGAGCGGGAGCUUCUCUUUGUUGCGGCAGCCUCUCUUUGCAGAGCACAGGCUCUGGGCGUGCGGGCUUCAGCAGCCGUGGCCCCCAGGCUUAGCUGCUCUGCAGGUGGGAUCUUCCGGGACCAGGGGUUGAACUCGCGUCCUCUGCACUGGCAGGCAGGUCCUGUGGUUGCUGCAGCCCCAGGGAAGUCCAGUGUCUGUUAAAUGACCAGACGAAUGUCGGCCCUGUGGACUCCACCCCGCCAGUCUCCUCUGUCCUUGGGAUUCCUCACGCAAGAAUACUUAAGUGGGCUGCCAUUCCCUGCUCGAGGGCGUCUUCCCACCCCAGGGAUCACAGCUGCAUCCGUUAAAUCCCCUGCAUGGCAGGCAGGUUCUUCACCACCAGCACCGCCUGGGAAGCUCACUAGACAAAUGAACAGACAGAAAGGGAGGCGUUACUUUUCAGGCGUCAAAGCCCAGUUAGCCCCAGUGAUGGGGGAGGACAAAACCCAGAGCUCAGCUGGGAGUUUAGAGAGGAAUCGAGAUCUCGGGGUGUCGCUGGGGAGGCAGGGCGCUGCCCAACACCCCUUCCUCCUGCAAUGUGGCGUGCGGGCCUCUGGCACCAGCGGGCGCCAGCAGGGGGAAGGAAAGGCUUGGGGCACAGGCUUGGAAGAACGUUUCAGGAGAGGAGCCACGUGAACGAUGGGGGGAGGACACAGAACAGGAGAGCAGAAGCCCCGUUCUCUGCAGAAGCCGACUGCUUCUGAAAAAUUCCAUGUCUGGCCCUCCUCGCAGCAGAGGGUCUCCUACGUGCCAGCCACUGCGGUGCCCUGGGGACACACGGCUGAGAGCGGCCACUCUGUACCCGGAGAAGCCCACCACCCAGCAGCACGUCGGACCCAAACCACGGCCAUGAGGCCACGUGCUAAGCGCUACCUACCAACAGCAGGGCGGGAUGGCCCUGGGCACACAGGGCGGUUUCGGUCACCCUGCCGGAUGCGCACUGGGACAGACGCACAGAAUCGCUGACGCCUGGGCUCCUCCUGGGAGAAGAUCCCCCUAUUAAGGGCAUCCGCUCACUCUGCAACUGGUACUCAGCUUUGACCCUGUGCCAGGCUCUGGGCCAUAAGGGUGGGCAGAGACAGACACAGCCCUGCCCUCGCCUCCCCGGGGAGAAGUGCCAUCAGCCUCACAAGCACGCCAACAAAUGUACAACCUAAAUCCGAAACCAAGGCAAAGACGGAGCGGUGCCAGGCUUUCCCGGAGGAGAAGUAAACCGUGUGGGCACUGAUGGAUCUAUGGAGAACGUGGAGGGCAGAGACUGCGGGCUGGGCCAGAGUGUAAAUAACAGAGCUGCCGGCCGCCCAAGGGAGACCAGACUGCCCGGGUCCACCCUCGGGGGCAA